rnacentral:misc_RNA from 1 species
UCGAAAAGGGAGCGCGCACAAAAGCGUUCUUUUUCUCAACCGGUGAAUUUUCCACAUAUCGACGCGUGCACAUGCCGCGUUGCUUUACAACCCCGAACAACCUUUGUAACGUUUUCUCGGAAAAAACAACCAAUAUAUA